rnacentral:rRNA from 1 species
GUGCGAUGAAGGCCUUCGGGUUGUAAAGCACUUUUGGCAGGAAAGAAACGUCAUGGGUUAAUACCCCGUGAAACUGACGGUACCUGCAGAAUAAGCACCGGCUAACUACGUGCCAGCAGCCGCGGUAAUACGUAGGGUGCAAGCGUUAAUCGGAAUUACUGGGCGUAAAGCGUGCGCAGGCGGUUCGGAAAGAAAGAUGUGAAAUCCCAGAGCUUAACUUUGGAACUGCAUUUUUAACUACCGAGCUAGAGUGUGUCAGAGGGAGGUGGAAUUCCGCGUGUAGCAGUGAAAUGCGUAGAUAUGCGGAGGAACACCGAUGGCGAAGGCAGCCUCCUGGGAUAACACUGACGCUCAUGCACGAAAGCGUGGGGAGCAAACAGGAUUAGAUACCCUGGUAGUCCACGCCCUAAACGAUGUCAACUAGCUGUUGGGGCCUUCGGGCCUUAGUAGCGCAGCUAACGCGUGAAGUUGACCGCCUGGGGAGUACGGUCGCAAGAUUAAAACUCAAAGGAAUUGACGGGGACCCGCA